AUGGAAGUGGAAGCUCACGAGACUGGGUUGCUAAAGAUCCAAAGCUAGAUAUAUUCGAAAAUUGGAGAUAACAUCGUAAUCAGAGAAGAAACUUUUAGUCGGUAACGAGGUACAUGCAAGGAGGAAGGUGUUGUUAUCAGAUUCUGUUGGUCUAUGUCAAUCUAAGAACAAAGGUCUAGAAUUUUGACUAAAGUCGCGUGACUAUUCAACGCGUGGAGCGAAUUAGGGAGCUGUGAUCAUACGGAUGACUAAAGUCGCGUGAACAUUGAGCGCGUGGAACGAAUUAGGGAGCUGGUAUGAUGACCAUACGGUCAAAUUAAAUUAUACUUUUUAAUUAAUACACUCCCAUCAAGUAAUGAUUUUUAUCGAAGGUUGAUGUGCGUUAGGUGUGAUAUAUUUUUUGAUGUAUAUUUUAAGCCCUUUAACACUUUUUAGCCAAGUUUUAAAUUUAUAAAACACGAUAUUUACUAACA
rnacentral:lncRNA from 1 species